UCCCUGGUGGCUCAGAUGGUAAAGCAUCUGCCUGCAAUGUGGAGGACCUGGGUUCCAUCCCUGGUCAGGAAG
rnacentral:tRNA from 1 species